UACGAAGGGAGCUAGCGUUGUUCGGAAUCACUGGGCGUAAAGCGCACGUAGGCGGAUGUGUCAGUCAGGGGUGAAAUCCCGGAGCUCAACUUCGGAACUGCCUUUGAUACAGCACGUCUUGAGUCCGAUAGAGGUGGGUGGAAUUCCUAGUGUAGAGGUGAAAUUCGUAGAUAUUCGGAGGAACACCAGAAGCGAAGGCGGCUCACUGGCCCGAUACUGACGCUGAGGCGCGAAAGCGUGGGGAGCAAACAGG
rnacentral:rRNA from 1 species